GACGUAGGGCGCGAGCGUUGUCCGGAUUUAUUGGGCGUAAAGAGCUCGUAGGCGGCUUGUCGCGUCGUCCGUGAAAACCUGCGGCUCAACUGCAGGCUGGCGGUCGAUACGGGCAGGCUGGAGUUCGGUAGGGGAGACUGGAAUUCCUGGUGUAGCGGUGAAAUGCGCAGAUAUCAGGAGGAACACCUGCGGUGUAGACGGCUUACUGGACCACCACUGACGCUGAGGCACGAAAGCGUGGGUAGCAAACAGG
rnacentral:rRNA from 1 species